CCUUAAAUAACGAAAUCGUUUUUUCAAAAAAAUAUUUUUUGAUCCGAAAUAAAAUUGCUCUUUUUGUGUUUGUUGGUACCGUGUGUUUUUUGUGGGCGUCCCUGUCGGCGGAGGCCGGUUGGCUAGGCCAGGGGGCGCGAGGAAGUCCAGCAGGGCUUCUUCGAUCUGCUUCCGUCUCGUGGUGGUUUUAAAGUGUUUGCUCUUGUCUCUGACGUUGUUGGUUUUGCAUUGGUGUCCAAGGGUGUUGCUCACAGGUCCAACUUGUGAAAAGGCAGAGGGAUAACUGGCGACUGUUCAAAGUGAAAGCUUGUGGCAAUAGAUUGCAAGGUUUGUCGAGAUGGAAAGGGAAUUGGUGUAUUGGUUUUCAAGCGCUCUGUCCAACAGCAUCUUGCUGUUUAGAGGGAGUGAUCUUUGUGAUCUUGGUUGAAUUGAAGUCACCUGCAAAUCUGUUCGCUCGCGAAGGUUUGCUUGUGUACUA
rnacentral:misc_RNA from 1 species